GCCGGGGUAGCUCAGUAGGUAGAGCACAGGACUGAAAAUCCUGGUGUCCCCAGUUCAAUUCUGGGCCCCGGCA
rnacentral:tRNA from 1 species